GCUGGGCGCGGUGGCCCACGCCUGUAGUCCCAGUGGCUCAGGAGGCUGAGACAGGAGGAUCGAGUUCAAAGCCAGCCUCAGCAAUGGCAAGGUGCUAAGCAACUCAGUGAGACCCUGUCUCUA
rnacentral:sRNA from 1 species